AAGGCGUAGGCGGAAAAUGACGAUGACGGUGAUAAUAACAGCAGCGAUGAGGAUGGCCAGCAGUGACCGGGCGUUUACCGCAUCCCAGAUGCUGUGCCAGGUUUCCUACGCAUUCUUCCGUUUCAUCCUUGCAACAAGCCCGUGAAGUACCACGACUUAAAAAUGUCCCAUUUCACAUGAGGAAACAUUUGGACACGUUAAGCAACAUACCCAGUUUCACACACUCUGAAAUUGUAGAGCGAGGCAUGAGUUUGAGAAAGAAGACUGCACGCAAGUAACUCCAUCAUAAGGUAGAAGCUGCGGUGUAUGCUAGAAAGGCAAAGACAGACCCUUUGGGGCUCAGAAAGCGAAGGGGUGCGGGGUGAUGGCGGUAGGGGCGGUGACGGCGACGGUGACGCUGAGGGUGACCAUGGGGAUACUCGUGGUGGUGGCAGUGCUGCUAAUGACCAUUCAUGAUAGUCGUUGAGCGAUGUCCCUGGGUGCCCAUUUGUUGGGCUUCUGCCCAUGCCAGGCCCUGACCUGGGUGCUUUCUGCUACCUCCUGUCAGCCUCAUAAUAACGUCCCAAUGUCAAGGUCAUAACCCCCGUUUCACUCACGAGGACGCUGAGCUGGAGACGGGUCAAGCGCCUGCCUGAGGCAGGCAUCCAGUCUGAGCUGGGCUGGAGCUUAAGCGUGCCUCAUGGCAGAGCGGCCGCGCUCUCCCCACCAGGGUCCCCAGCCUGUGGGCCAUGGGGCCAGGUCUCCCACAGAUGCUCCAUAAAUACCUAUUGAACAAAUAUUGAAUGAAUGGGCCCCCAGGGGGUCAAAGCCUUAAGCCCGGACGACAGAAACAAGCUGUCUUGAGGGAGUGUGCGUAACCAUUAUUUAAGAAGAUGCGGUGGGGCUGUGAUGACUAAAAUGCAAGUUAAUGGUAAGGCGUCAUGUCCACGUGUCUUCUGUAUAGUUCUGUAUUUCCCAAUGAAAACACACCGAGUGUGUCAUUGGGAGGAGUUCUGAGAAAUAUUUGCACGCACAAAGGAGCCCUGCGGCUGAAAGUGGUGGGAAGCCUCCUGCCGUCCUGUGUGGGGUGUAAAGUGCUUUGCCCAGGGUCUGGCACAGAGGCCCCUUAGAGGAAGGAGGAGACCCACCAGGCUGGGGAUCGGGAGCCCAUGGCAUUUGUCCCGGCUCUACAAGUGACUUACUGGACCCAAACUGCCACUUUCUGUGGCUGUCUCAUGAGACCCGAGGCCAGCAUCUGCGAGAUUUCCCAAGCGCCUGGCGAAUGCGCGCAUGAAUGAAUGGAUGACGAGAGAAGGAAGCAGUGAAUCACGCCGAAGGGCGCUCAGGGAGCCCAUGAGGGGUGUUUUCCCCAAGGAGUGCUUGAGAGCGAGUUUCUCAGCCGGAGAGCAGAAGAAUGCCGGGUUCACCAGGGCCCACCCACUCCAGACUCCCAGCUCUGUGAGCGGGGUCAGGAGGCCACAGCGGCCUCCCUGGGGGUCUGAUCUUGACCCUGUUGGAGAAGGGGUGGCGGCUGGAGCUCGGCUGUGAGGCCACUCUCAGCAAGGCUGUGCUCACCGUUUUAGGAUGCAUUUGUCAAACUCAAGUGCAGGUUGACAGAUGGUGGUGGUAUAUUAUUCUCACAUUCUCUCCUUCCCACAGGCCUCCCUCCAGCCUAGCCCUCCGAGCUCUUAAAAACCUCUUACACCUCUCGACCAUGAGACCACGGCUGGCUCUCGGCAGGUAAGCACCCGCGUUGCUCCCUCUCCAGGGCAGGGAGCAACCUCAGCACAGCCCUAAGACCGCGACCCACGUUUGUAGCCAGGAGGCAGGCGGGGCUGCCUUCGCUGGAGCCUCACACUCGACCGAGACUUCAGGAAAAAGCUGCCAAAUGUCCAGAGUCCUGCAGCUGGCGUGUCUACCAAUGACAGCACAGGACUCCUGGAGCAGAAACCAGGGAGCUGCUUCUGACCCCAUGUCAGAGCCUUUAUUGCUCAGGAAAAUCUCAAGCAACCCCCUGCCUUUCUGGGUUUCGGGUUCCUUGCGUGAAAAGUGGGGGAAUAGGAUUCAGUGAACUGGGCAGGCCGUAAGCCAGCUCUUCCGGCCUCGGGCCAAGGCCAGGUGCUGGGAGGAGGGACAGUGGGGACGGCCGGGGUCUACGACCUGAGGUCUCACCUCCUGCUCCGUUGCCCCAUGGAGCUCCCGUCCACAGGGAGCCUGGCUCUGUGUGUGCCAUGCGACUGCAUAUAUGUGUUUGGGACCAGGACUUGUGCCCCUUCCAGCAAACGGUGCCUGACCUUGAACUUGAACAUGGACAAGUCACCAGCUCUGCACUCGCCCUGUCAUGGCUGGGCGGUACCCAGGGUGGGAAGGGCAGAGGCUGCCCAUGUGCUGAGAGCAGAGGGAGGGCAUGGAAAUCAAGCUGGGGAAGGGGCACCGCCGGUGGUGGGGAGACCAGGUCAGCCCGGCAGUGAGGCCUUCAUUCGUGCGGGAGUGAGUGCGUGGCCAAAGCUCGUGGGCACAUCUGCAGGGCAGGCUCAGAAACGAAUCCGACUAGGAACGAUGAGGUUGCAGGUUCGAUUCCUGGCCUCGCUCAGUGGGUUAAGGAUCUCGCAUUGCCAUGAGCUGUGGUGUAGGUCGCAGACACGGCUCAGAUCCUGCGUUGCUGUGGCUGUGGCUGUGGCUGUAGCCAGCAACUGUAACUCCAAUUCGACCCCUAGCCUGGGAACU
rnacentral:lncRNA from 1 species